CAGGCUUAACACAUGCAAGUCGAGGGGCAGCAUUUUAGUUUGCUUGCAAACUAAAGAUGGCGACCGGCGCACGGGUGAGUAACACGUAUCCAACCUGCCGAUAACUCGGGGAUAGCCUUUCGAAAGAAAGAUUAAUAUCCGAUAGUAUAUUAAAACCGCAUGGUUUUACUAUUAAAGAAUUUCGGUUAUCGAUGGGGAUGCGUUCCAUUAGUUUGUUGGCGGGGUAACGGCCCACCAAGACAACGAUGGAUAGGGGUUCUGAGAGGAAGGUCCCCCACAUUGGAACUGAGACACGGUCCAAACUCCUACGGGAGGCAGCAGUGAGGAAUAUUGGUCAAUGGACGAGAGUCUGAACCAGCCAAGUAGCGUGAAGGAUGACUGCCCUAUGGGUUGUAAACUUCUUUUAUAUGGGAAUAAAGUAUUCCACGUGUGGGAUUUUGUAUGUACCAUAUGAAUAAGGAUCGGCUAACUCCGUGCCAGCAGCCGCGGUAAUACGGAGGAUCCGAGCGUUAUCCGGAUUUAUUGGGUUUAAAGGGAGCGUAGGUGGAUUGUUAAGUCAGUUGUGAAAGUUUGCGGCUCAACCGUAAAAUUGCAGUUGAAACUGGCAGUCUUGAGUACAGUAGAGGUGGGCGGAAUUCGUGGUGUAGCGGUGAAAUGCUUAGAUAUCACGAAGAACUCCGAUUGCGAAGGCAGCUCACUAGACUGCAACUGACACUGAUGCUCGAAAGUGUGGGUAUCAAACAGGAUUAGAUACCCUGGUAGUCCACACAGUAAACGAUGAAUACUCGCUGUUUGCGAUAUACAGUAAGCGGCCAAGCGAAAGCAUUAAGUAUUCCACCUGGGGAGUACGCCGGCAACGGUGAAACUCAAAGGAAUUGACGGGGGCCCGCACAAGCGGAGGAACAUGUGGUUUAAUUCGAUGAUACGCGAGGAACCUUACCCGGGCUUAAAUUGCAUUUGAAUAAUCUGGAAACAGGUUAGCCGCAAGGCAAAUGUGAAGGUGCUGCAUGGUUGUCGUCAGCUCGUGCCGUGAGGUGUCGGCUUAAGUGCCAUAACGAGCGCAACCCUUAUCUUUAGUUACUAACAGGUCAUGCUGAGGACUCUAGAGAGACUGCCGUCGUAAGAUGUGAGGAAGGUGGGGAUGACGUCAAAUCAGCACGGUCCUUACGUCCGGGGCUACACACGUGUUACAAUGGGGGGUACAGAAGGCAGCUACCUGGCGACAGGAUGCUAAUCCCAAAAACCUCUCUCAGUUCGGAUCGAAGUCUGCAACCCGACUUCGUGAAGCUGGAUUCGCUAGUAAUCGCGCAUCAGCCAUGGCGCGGUGAAUACGUUCCCGGGCCUUGUACACACCGCCCGUCAAGCCAUGAAAGCCGGGGGUACCUGAAGUACGUAACCGCAAGGAGCGUCCUAGGGUAAAACUGGUAAUUG
rnacentral:rRNA from 1 species